rnacentral:rRNA from 1 species
AUUUGGACCUGAUAUCAGACAAGAUUACCCGCUGAAUUUAAGCAUAUAACUAAGCGGAGGAAAAGAAACUAACAAGGAUUCCCCUAGUAACGGCGAGUGAAGCGGGAAGAGCUCAAGCUUAAAAUCUCUAUGUCAGUUUGGCAUGGCGAAUUGUAGUCUAUAGAGGCUGUUGUCGCGCAGGCGAUCCGGGACAAGUCCCUUGGAAGAGGGCAGCAUAGAGGGUGAUACUCCCGUCUCUGCUCGGAUCUGCUAGUGCAAGAACACGUUUUCUUUGAGUCGAGUUGCUUGGGAAUGCAGCUCAAAGUAGGUGGUAAAUUCCAUCUAAAGCUAAAUAUAGGUGCGAGACCGAUAGCGAACAAGUACCGUGAGGGAAAGAUGAAAAGAACUUUGAAAAGAGAGUUAAAGAGUACCUGAAACUGUUGAAAGGGAAUCGGAUCGUUUCCAGUGUCUGUAUCCUUUGCAUAUUUCAUUGGCGGACGGUGGUGUGUAGUUUGUUGGCAAGUCGUUUAUUCGUCUGCUGGCUAGUUAUGCUGCUAUUGUUUGCUGGUGCCCUGUGCGUUGGUGUGACGUCAGAGUCAGUUUAUAAGUUGCGGGAGAUGGUUGUCAAGGAGGUAUUUCAGGCACUUGUGUUUGAUUGUUAUAUCUUGGCAUACUAGUAGCCGUGGCUAAGACUGAGGUGCCUACAACAUGCCUUGGGGGUCUACGGUCGUCUCGUGUGAGUGAUUGCUUGGAUAGCUUGCUAUGUUUGCAGUUGAUUUGUGCGAUUGAUGAUAGUAGCAACCUC